UUUUAGGUGCUGUGUCGCUACAACAAAUGUUUGGAACACUGACCUCAAAUUUAAACCAACCUUUUUAGGCGGAGUUUUUAAAGGUUCAGGUAACAUUGAACCUGGAUCGGUCGAUAAAAAGCAACGUUACUUGCUCACAGAUCGGAAACUGAUGUCUGAAUCCCCCUCCAGUUUUGAACAAAGGUAUUCAAAUUCACAGAACUUUUUUAUGUUUUAAAAAUAUAUGUACUCUUUAUUCAACUGCAAUUCAUUGCUGCCUUAAAUAAAAAAAAUAGAGACAAGACCUAACUAGAUACUAGACCGUGUGCAUUUUGCUAUUAUUUCUUCUUCAGUGAACAAGACUAUCAAUGAAUGAGAAUACUUUAGCAGCUAAUUGAUGACUCUGUAUGUGAGGAGAAACUUGAAAUGAUUUAAGAUGAAUUACCACACUACUGUUUAUUAUAGUGCUGCUUUAUAGCUAAAUCUUUC
ensembl:processed_transcript